rnacentral:pre_miRNA from 1 species
ACAACAUUCGGAGCGUCGAUCUACCGAGCAAUAUCAGCCGCACGGUGGAAGAUCUUCCUUUCGUCGU